AGCAGUCGCCGCGGUAAUACGUAGGGGGCAAGCGUUGUCCGGAAUUAUUGGGCGUAAAGCGCGCGCAGGCGGUUUUUUAAGUCUGGUGUCUAAGUGCGGGGCUCAACCCCGUGACGCACUGGAAACUGGGAGACUUGAGUGCAGAAGAGGAGAGCGGAAUUCCACGUGUAGCGGUGAAAUGCGUAGAGAUAUGGAGGAACACCGGUGGCGAAAGCGGCUCUCUGGUCUGUCACUGACGCUGAGGCUCGAAAGCGUGGGUAGCGAACAGGACUAGAUACCCCUGUAGUCCCUGUCUCUUAUACA
rnacentral:rRNA from 1 species